rnacentral:rRNA from 1 species
UACGGGGGGGGCAAGCGUUGUUCGGAAUUACUGGGCGUAAAGGGCUCGUAGGCGGCCAACUAAGUCGGGUGUGAAAACUCUGGGCUCAACCCAGAGACGCCACCCGAUACUGCUGUGACUUGAGUACGGUAGGGGAGUGGGGAAUUCCUGGUGUAGCGGUGAAAUGCGCAGAUAUCAGGAGGAACACCAGUGGCGAAGGCGCCACUCUGGGCCGUAACUGACGCUGAGGAGCGAAAGCGUGGGUAGCAAACAGG